CUACGGGCUGCUCCAGUGAGGAAUAUUGCACAAUGGGGGGAACCCUGAUGCAGCAACGCCGCGUGGAGGAUGACGCAUUUCGGUGUGUAAACUCCUUUUAUAUGUCAAGAAAAUGACGGUAGCAUAUGAAUAAGCACCGGCUAACUCCGUGCCAGCAGCCGCGGUAAUACGGAGGGUGCAAGCGUUACUCGGAAUCACUGGGCGUAAAGGACGCGUAGGCGGGUUGGAAAGUCAGGUGUGAAAUCCUACAGCUUAACUGUAGAACUGCACUUGAAACUUCUAAUCUAGAGUAUGGGAGGGAGAGAUGGAAUUAGUGGUGUAGGGGUAAAAUCCGUAGAUAUCACUAGGAAUACCUAAAGCGAAGGCGAUCUCCUGGAACAUUACUGACGCUAAGGCGUGAAAGCGUGGGGAGCAAACAGGAUUAGAUACCUCGUAGUC
rnacentral:rRNA from 1 species